rnacentral:rRNA from 1 species
GCUAAGACUGGAUAGGAAGAUAAAAGGCAUCUUUUAUCUUUUAAAAGACCUAGUAAUAGGUAUGCUUUAGGAGGGGCUUGCGCCAUAUUAGUUAGUUGGUAGGGUAAUGGCCUACCAAGACGAUGAUGUGUAGCUGGACUGAGAGGUUGAACAGCCACAUUGGGACUGAGACACGGCCCAAACUCCUACGGGAGGCAGCAGUAGGGAAUUUUCGGCAAUGGAGGAAACUCUGACCGAGCAACGCCGCGUGAAUGACGAAGUACUUCGGUAUGUAAAGUUCUUUUAUCAAGGAAGAAAAGCAAAUGGCGAACCAUUUGUUUGCCGGUACUUGAUGAAUAAGCCCCGGCUAAUUAUGUGCCAGCAGCCGCGGUAAGACAUAAGGGGCAAGUGUUAUCCGGAAUUAUUGGGCGUAAAGGGUGCGUAGGCGGUCUAGUAAGUCAGUGGUGUAAUGGCAACGCUUAACGUUGUCCGGCUAUUGAAACUGCUAAACUUGAGUUAGAUAGAGGCGAGUGGAAUUCCAUGUGUAGCGGUAAAAUGCGUAAAUAUAUGGAGGAACACCAGAGGCGUAGGCGGCUCGCUGGGUCUUAACUGACGCUGAGGCACGAAAGCGUGGGGAGCAAACAGGAUUAGAUACCCUGGUAGUCCACGCCGUAAACGAUGAGUACUAAGUGUCGGGUUAAACCGGUACUGAAGUUAACACAUUAAGUACUCCGCCUGAGUAGUACGUACGCAAGUAUGAAACUUAAAGGAAUUGACGGGACUCCGCACAAGCGGUGGAUCAUGUUGUUUAAUUCGAAGAUACCCGAAAAACCUUACCAGGUCUUGACAUGUUUUUGCAAAAUGAUAGUAAUAUCGUGGAGGUUACCAGAAACACAGGUGGUGCAUGGUUGUCGUCAGCUCGUGUCGUGAGAUGUUAGGUUAAGUCCUAAAACGAGCGAAACCCUUAUCGUUAGUUGCCAGCACGUUAUGGUGGGGACUUUAACGAGACUGCCAAUGAUAAAUUGGAGGAAGGUGAGGAUCACGUCAAAUCAGCAUGCCCCUUAUGACCUGGGCUACAAACGUGAUACAAUGGCUGUUACAAAGGGUAGCUGAAACGCAAGUUCUUGGCCAAUCCCCAAAAACAGUCCCAGUCCGGAUUGAAGUCUGCAACUCGACUUCAUGAAGUUGGAAUCGCUAGUAAUCGCGAAUCAGCAUGUCGCGGUGAAUACGUUCUCGGGGUUUGUACACACCGCCCGUCAAACCA